UCCUACGGGGGGCAGCAGUCGGGAAUAUUGCGCAAUGGAGGAAACUCUGACGCAGUGACGCCGCGUAUAGGAAGAAGGUUUUCGGAUUGUAAACUAUUGUCGAUAGGGAAGAAAAAAGACUGUACCUAUCAAGAAAGCUCCGGCUAACUACGUGCCAGCAGCCGCGGUAAUACGUAGGGAGCAAGCGUUAUCCGGAUUUACUGGGUGUAAAGGGAGCGUAGACGGCAGCGCAAGUCUGGAGUGAAAUGCCGGGGCCCAACCCCGGAACUGCUUUGGAAACUGUGCAGCUCGAGUGCAGGCGAGGG
rnacentral:rRNA from 1 species